AUUGUCCCUCAGUGAUACCCCAGAAUAGAGCAAUUUAGUACAUUGCGGGUGACGAUUUGUUUCCAAAUUAUUUAGAGUGUAAGACAAGCGAACUAUAUGUAAGACUACCUGGACAAUUUCCUUACUUUGCUAAUAUAGCCAAAACUUGAAAAACCGGUGGGCGUGAGAAAAAUUUAAUCAGGUUUAAAUUACUGAGUUUUACCACUUAAGAGCAAAAGAAUGUCAGCAUCCCAUCAGGUUCACACCCCCGACAAUAGUUGUAUUAAGAGGUUAAAAUCUUCAAUUCCCACCUACUAUGGGUGUAACCAUCAUGUGCGCUUUUCGCGUUAACUAACUUAAGUACAUGGUGCGACACAAAAAAAUUAUCGUAGUGGAAAGGGGACCCCGAUGGUCACCUCCUAUCUCACGAAAACACACCCCAUGUGGGCGAAGCUUUCCGCGCUUUUGCCAUUUUUGAAAAAUGAAACAAGUUGUAAAAAUUUAUAAUUUCUGAAAGUGACUUUUUCUUAAUUUACGUAAUGCAAUUCAAAUUAUUUUGUCGAAAUCCCCUCGUGUAGUUACGAGAAAUGAGGUAUUACAUGACAUGACGUGGUUUAGUUAAAAUCGAAAAGUCGCUGAGCACUGAUUUUUUGGGAUACCGUCGUCCUUGUUUAGCUGGGAAAAAUGAUAUAACAGAUGGCAUGGUUUUACUAAAAUGGAAAAUUUUCUGAGAACCACACCCACUGCAGAUACGGUUUCCAAGUUUGAGAUAUUCCUUCGAUACCCCCUUGUCGAGCUGAGAACAAUAAUGUAUCACAUGACAUGGUUUCGUUAAAAUCGACAAUUUGUUUAGAACCACACCCACUGGGGGUGUGGUUUAUAAAUUCUAAUUAUUCUGUAGAGGUCCCCUCGUCGAGCUUAGUAAGAUGAUAUAUCACAUGACAUGGUUUCGUUAAAACCAAAAAGUCGCCGAGGGCCAAACCCACUGGGGGUGUGGCAUAUGACCACUAAAAAUUUCCUCAUAUAGUAUAUGGCUUAGGUUAUUGCUGCACACCAAAAUCUAAUUUUUCUUUCUUCAAAUUCGGCUGCUAUAUAUUUUUGGCCAAAAUUUAUUAAAUCUGGCCCACUGUGCAUUGUUGCCACGGAUGAUCAAAUUGUGUCCCUGAAGAAGUGUCAAUCUGUUAAGACAAGCAACAAGUGGUUUCUCAAAGAGUUUGGACGGAUAGCUAGUGCGGACAAAAAAACAUUUAGCAUCGUUGGAAGUGCAGUACUGUCCGUUUUAGAGCCGAUCGUUUCAAAACUCAAAGAAGAGGGCUGCAAUUUAAGGGAUGAGGCGGUAGUGAAGAAAAGGUUCCAGAAGAUCUUUGGUACUCUUGGCAAAGCCCCUUAUCAAAGUCAGUCAUCCCUUGAUAGUAAUCCGGAGAAUUUAUGCAGCUUAGGUUCACGACAAGGAGGAGAAAGUGGCAAAAGGAACAUUGCCGAGGUAUCUUUAUCGCCCAUGGCUGAGACUCAGAAAAAAACAAAAGUUGAUCGGGAUUAGUCUGGAGAAUGAUGUGGAACGUGUUGCAAGGGAUGUUCAACCCUUGGAAGUAUUGCCUGCCCCCUCAAUUGCAAUCGAUGUUAACCAGAAAGUCGCAACACAAUCGUCGCGUCGCGUCCCAACAUCUGGAAAACCUUUGGCGGAAAAGUCGGAGAUAGUUGCGAUGCCAAAAAAGGAGCAAGCUGCCCGAGGGAUAAAAUCAACCCACAAACCAGAUCCACAAUCAACUGAGAAAGAGAAGAAAUAAGGGAA